rnacentral:misc_RNA from 1 species
CGCAUAUUGCGCCCUUUGGCAUUCCGAAGGGCAUGCCUGUUCGAGCGUCAUUUCACCCCUCAAACCGCACGGUUUGUCGUUGGGCGCCGCCACACCGGCACGCCUCAAAAUGAGCGACGGUUCCUACCAACCUCAAGCGUACAAGUAUCGCGAUGGCGGAAGGUGGGGGGCCUGUCCCCUCAAUAAAUCUAAAUGUUGACCUCGGAUCAGGUAGGGAUACCCGCUGAACUUAA